rnacentral:rRNA from 1 species
UCUGACGGAGCAACGCCGCGUGAGUGAUGAAGGUUUUCGGAUCGUAAAGCUCUGUUGUUAGGGAAGAACAAGUACCGUUCGAAUAGGGCGGUACCUUGACGGUACCUAACCAGAAAGCCACGGCUAACUACGUGCCAGCAGCCGCGGUAAUACGUAGGUGGCAAGCGUUGUCCGGAAUUAUUGGGCGUAAAGGGCUCGCAGGCGGUUUCUUAAGUCUGAUGUGAAAGCCCCCGGCUCAACCGGGGAGGGUCAUUGGAAACUGGGGAACUUGAGUGCAGAAGAGGAGAGUGGAAUUCCACGUGUAGCGGUGAAAUGCGUAGAGAUGUGGAGGAACACCAGUGGCGAAGGCGACUCUCUGGUCUGUAACUGACGCUGAGGAGCGAAAGCGUGGGGAGCGAACAGGAUUAGAUACCCUGGUAGUCCACGCCGUAAACGAUGAGUGCUAAGUGUUAGGGGGUUUCCGCCCCUUAGUGCUGCAGCUAACGCAUUAAGCACUCCGCCUGGGGAGUACGGUCGCAAGACUGAAACUCAAAGGAAUUGACGGGGGCCCGCACAAGCGGUGGAGCAUGUGGUUUAAUUCGAAGCAACGCGAAGAACCUUACCAGGUCUUGACAUCCUCUGACAAUCCUAGAGAUAGGACGUCCCCUUCGGGGGCAGAGUGACAGGUGGUGCAUGGUUGUCGUCAGCUCGUGUCGUGAGAUGUUGGGUUAAGUCCCGCAACGAGCGCAACCCUUGAUCUUAGUUGCCAGCAUUCAGUUGGGCACUCUAAGGUGACUGCCGGUGACAAACCGGAGGAAGGUGGGGAUGACGUCAAAUCAUCAUGCCCCUUAUGACCUGGGCUACACACGUGCUACAAUGGACAGAACAAAGGGCAGCGAAACCGCGAGGUUAAGCCAAUCCCACAAAUCUGUUCUCAGUUCGGAUCGCAGUCUGCAACUCGACUGCGUGAAGCUGGAAUCGCUAGUAAUCGCGGAUCAGCAU